rnacentral:rRNA from 1 species
AUUGAACGCUGGCGGCAGGCCUAACACAUGCAAGUCGAGCGGGGUUUUCGGACCUAGCGGCGGACGGGUGAGUAAUGCGUAGGAAGCUACCCGAUAGAGGGGGAUACCAGUUGGAAACGACUGUUAAUACCGCAUAAUGUCUACGGACCAAAGUGUGGGACCUUCGGGCCACAUGCUAUCGGAUGCGCCUACGUGGGAUUAGCUAGUUGGUGGGGUAAUGGCUCACCAAGGCGACGAUCCCUAGCUGGUUUGAGAGGAUGAUCAGCCACACUGGAACUGAGACACGGUCCAGACUCCUACGGGAGGCAGCAGUGGGGAAUAUUGGACAAUGGGCGCAAGCCUGAUCCAGCCAUGCCGCGUGUGUGAAGAAGGCCUUCGGGUUGUAAAGCACUUUCAGUAGGGAGGAAGAGUUGAGUGUUAAUAGUACUCAGCUUUGACGUUACCUACAGAAGAAGCACCGGCUAACUCUGUGCCAGCCGCCGCCGUAAAAC